GUGGACUUUGAGAGGGGCUUUUGUAGAUAGGGAGAAUUUCUUGUGGCCUGGCCUCUAGUUAGAAAGGUGGUGUUUCUGUAGCCCACAUGACUACAGAACAGGACUGUUGAACUCUGCACCAAAAGGAAAAGGACUGCUUAUUGUAAAGGGAGAAUUCUUAGUUCGGGGCAGAGAGAAACUGAGGCAUGACUGUGCUCAAAUGGUGAAUGAGAUAAGUGCUGUUUAACAGCCUGAUAAAAGGAAAUAAACAGGGUCACUCAACAAGGAAGAAAAACCACAAUAAAGAAAACAUGCAUGCAUCUACUCCAGAAACUCACUCAAAUAGAACAGCAAGAGUCGAAAGGGAGAACUGAGGUGCAUCGUCAAAGCUGUGUGGAGCAAAUGAUGAAGACAUCAGCCAUAGUACCCUAUGCAGCACUUCUAUCUGGUCUUGCAAGUUCUUUUCCAGGCAUUGCAAGAAAAAGUUUACUUCUCCCAUAUUGACUAUAAUGAAACGAGUCUCCUAAGUGCAACAGAAUCCUGUUGUUCAAAAACAAACAUGUCUGAAUAGAAGUUAUUUCUCCUGAAAUGCAUUGCCGUUAUGAA